GUACACACCGCCCGUCACACCAUGGGAGUGGGUUUCACAAGAAGUAGGUAGCCUAACCGCAAGGAGGGCGCUUACCACGGUGGGAUUCAUGACUGGGGUGAAGUCGUAACAAGGUAGCCGUAGGUGAACCUGCAGAAGGAUCA
rnacentral:rRNA from 1 species